AUUGAACGCUGGCGGCAGGCCUAACACAUGCAAGUCGAGCGAGUGGCGGACGGGUGAGUAAUGUCUGGGAAUCUGCCUGAUAGAGGGGGAUAACUACUGGAAACGGUAGCUAAUACCGCAUACUAUCGGAUGUGCCCAGAUGGGAUUAGCUAGUAGGUGGGGUAAAGGCUCACCAAGGCGACGAUCCCUAGCUGGUCUGAGAGGAUGACCAGCCACACUGGAACUGAGACACGGCCCAGACUCCUACGGGAGGCAGCAGUGGGGAAUAUUGCACAAUGGGCGCAAGCCUGAUGCAGCCAUGCCGCGUGUAUGAAGAAGGCCUUAGGGUUGUAAAGUACUUUCAGCGGGGAGGCGUUACCCGCAGAAGAAGCACCGGCUAACUCCGUGCCAGCAGCCGCGGUAAUAC
rnacentral:rRNA from 1 species